UCUCCGUUGGUGAACCAGCGGAGGGAUCAUUACUGGAAUCGCAAGAUCCCACAACCCUGUGAACCUACCGAAACGUUGCCUCGGCGGGUGCCCGGCCUCUGCGCCGGGCGCUGCGCCCGCCGGCGGCCCCCUACCCUGUCUCUGCAGCGUGGCAUCUCAGAGUCCCAGAAAACAAGUCAAAACUUUCAACAACGGAUCUCUUGGCUCUA
rnacentral:misc_RNA from 1 species